GAUGAACGCUGGCGGCGUGCCUAAUACAUGCAAGUCGAGCGAAUGACGAGGAGCUUGCUCCUCUGAUUUAGCGGCGGACGGGUGAGUAACACGUGGGUAACCUGCCUGUAAGACGGGGAUAACUCCGGGAAACCGGAGCUAAUACCGGAUGAUAACGAGAAGCGCCUGCUUCUUUUUUGAAAGCCGGUUUCGGCUGACGCUUACAGAUGGGCCCGCGGCGCAUGAGCUAGUUGGUGAGGUAACGGCCCACCAAGGCGACGAUGCGUAGCCGACCUGAGAGGGUGAUCGGCCACACUGGGACUGAGACACGGACCAGACUCCUACGGGAGGCAGCAGUAGGGAAUCUUCGGCAAUGGACGAAAGUCUGACCGAGCAACGCCACGUGAGCGAUGAAGGCCUUCGGGUCGUAAAGCUCUGUUGUCAGAGAAGAACAAGUACCGGAGUAACUGCCGGUACCUUGACGGUACCUGACCAGAAAGCCACGGCUAACUACGUGCCAGCCGCCGCGGUAAAAC
rnacentral:rRNA from 1 species